rnacentral:rRNA from 1 species
ACGAACGCUGGCGGCUUGCUUAACACAUGCACGUCGCACGGAAAGGCCCUGCUUUUGUGGGGUGCUCGAGUGGCGAACGGGUGAGUAACACGUGAGUAACCUGCCCUUGACUUUGGGAUAACUUCAGGAAACUGGGGCUAAUACCGGAUAGGAGCUCCUGCUGCAUGGUGGGGGUUGGAAAGUUUCGGCGGUUGGGGAUGGACUCGCGGCUUAUCAGCUUGUUGGUGGGGUAGUGGCUUACCAAGGCUUUGACGGGUAGCCGGCCUGAGAGGGUGACCGGCCACAUUGGGACUGAGAUACGGCCCAGACUCCUACGGGAGGCAGCAGUGGGGAAUAUUGCACAAUGGGCGGAAGCCUGAUGCAGCAACGCCGCGUGCGGGAUGACGGCCUUCGGGUUGUAAACCGCUUUCGCCUGUGACGAAGCGUGAGUGACGGUAAUGGGUAAAGAAGCACCGGCUAACUACGUG